CCCCCCCCCGUCGCGCACCACUAAAUAUCCUCUACUAUCCCUACAAAUCCUAUAUAAUUCAGACUCUGCGGAGGAGAGUGGAUCGAAGGUUAGACAAUGAUCUCGACUUCAGCGUUUAUCAGGUUUUGGCUGCCGGUUGAUGCAGCGUACGAAGAAAUAAAUGAGAUCGAAGGAACAAGGACAUGAUUCACAUGAACAAUCGUAUAGAAAUCCUUUCUUUGAAGUUUGUAUAAACCAGCAAGUAUUUGCAAGCAUUGCUACAAUAUAAAGGCCUUUAGCUUUGCUCUAAACACCGAGAAGCAUUCAACUAUUUUACUUUAUUUAUACCAUUAAGGCUUGGAUAUUUAUACUUUAUUAUGUACAAUAUACAUAGUUCAACAGCGUUCUUAUUCAUGUUUAGGAUGUACAAUUUUGUAAAAGCCUUUCU